rnacentral:rRNA from 1 species
GACGUAGGAGGCGAGCGUUAUCCGGAUUCACUGGGCGUAAAGCGCAUGUAGGCGGCUGGACAAGUCGUGUGUUAAAGCCCCUGGCUCAACUGGGGGAGGUCAUGCGAGACUGUUCGACUUGAGGGCAACAGAGGCACGUGGAACUCCCGGUGUAGCGGUGGAAUGCGUAGAGAUCGGGAAGAACACCAGUGGCGAAGGCGGCAUCCUGGACCGGUAUUGACGCUGAGGCGCGAAAGCCAGGGGAGCAAACGGG